rnacentral:rRNA from 1 species
GAUGAACGCUGGCGGCGUGCCUAAUACAUGCAAGUCGAGCGAACAGACGAGGAGCUUGCUCCUCUGACGUUAGCGGCGGACGGGUGAGUAACACGUGGAUAACCUACCUAUAGGACUGGGAUAACUUCGGGAAACCGGAGCUAAUACCGGAUAAUAUAUUGAACCGCAUGGUUCAAUAGUGAAAGACGGUUUUGCUGUCACUUAUAGAUGGAUCCGCGCCGCAUUAGCUAGUUGGUAAGGUAACGGCUUACCAAGGCGACGAUGCGUAGCCGACCUGAGAGGGUGGUCGGCCAGACUGGAACUGAGACACGGUCCAGACUCCGACGGGAGGCAGCAGUAGGGAAUCUUCCGCAAUGGGCGAAAGCCUGACGGAGCAACGCCGCGUGAGUGAUGAAGGUCUUCGGAUCGUAAAACUCUGUUAUUAGGGAAGAACAAAUGUGUAAGUAACUAUGCACGUCUUGACGGUACCUAAUCAGAAAGCCACGGCUAACUACGUG